rnacentral:rRNA from 1 species
AGUGAACGCUGGCGGCAGGCCUAAUACAUGCAAGUCGAACGGCAGCACAGCAGAGCUUGCUCUGUGGGUGGCGAGUGGCGGACGGGUGAGGAAUACAUGGGAAUCUGCCCAGUCGUGGGGGAUAACGUAUGGAAACGUACGCUAAUACCGCAUGCGCCCUACGGGGGAAAUCGGGGACCGCAAGGCCUGACGCGAUUGGAUGAGCCCAUGUUCGAUUAGCUAGUUGGCGGGGUAAAGCCCACCAAGGCGACGAUCGAUAGCUGGUCUGAGAGGAUGAUCAGCCACACUGGAACUGAGACACGGUCCAGACUCCUACGGGAGGCAGCAGUAGGGAAUAUUGGACAAUGGGGGCAACCCUGAUCCAGCCAUGCCGCGUGAGUGAAGAAGGCCCUCGGGUUGUAAAGCUCUUUUGUCCGGAAAGAAAAGCAAUCGGUUAAUACCCGGUUGUCCUGACGGUACCGGAAGAAUAAGCACCGGCUAACUUCGUGCC